rnacentral:rRNA from 1 species
AGUGAACGCUGGCGGCGUGCUUAACACAUGCAAGUCGAACGAGAACGGGUUAUAGCUUGCUAUAAUUGUCAGCUAAGUGGCGCACGGGUGAGUAAUGUGUAGGUAAUAUGCCUCUUACUAAGGGAUAACAAAUGGAAACGUUUGCUAAUACCGUAUACUCCUUAUUAACAGAAGUUAAUAAGGGAAAGAUUUAUUGGUAAGAGAUUAGCCUGUAUUGUAUCAGUUAGUUGGUGAGGUAAUGGCUUACCAAGACUAUGACACAUAACUGGUUUGAGAGGAUGAUCAGUCACACUGGAACUGAGACACGGUCCAGACUCCUACGGGAGGCAGCAGUGGGGAAUAUUGCACAAUGGACGAAAGUCUGAUGCAGCAACGCCGCGUGGAGGAUGACACAUUUCGGUGCGUAAACUCCUUUUAUAUGAGAAGAUAAUGACGGUAUUAUAUGAAUAAGCACCGGCUAACUCCGUGCCAGCAGCCGCCGUAA